UGCCAAUGAUUACACUUGCUGCCCGAAACAUUUGUGUGGAUUUAUUUCAGCAUUCGUCACUACCACUGAGGCA
rnacentral:snoRNA from 1 species